GCAAAGCCCACCCGUACACAUCGUAGGAUUCCUUUACACAGAGCUCCCCCAAAUGAAAACUGCUGUUUAGAGACAGAAAACAUAUCUCCCCAGAGGCAGCGGCUGCUGUCACCCUCACUGUACAGAAUGAGAAAACUGAGGCUCAGAGACGUUACGUAACUUGCUCAUGAUCACCCAGACAGGUGGAUGCAGAGAAAUGUUCUGAAGGCUGGCCUGGUGUCUUCAGGGGUCAGACAUCUCAGGAAAAGCGGCAUUUGUUGCAGUGAGGGCCAGCUGCAUCCUGUGGUGAAAAGGGGGCAGAUGAAACAAGGCUGUUACUGCCCGAGAAAAGUGGAAAUGGAGAGAGAAGGAUCAUUCUGAAGCAAAUCCCAGAGGCCCUAUCAUCACAUCAUCACAUCACGCCUUCUAUGACAUAGAUGCAGCUCAACAGCCACCCCCGGGUCUCCACAGCGCUCACAGUCAACCUGGAUGCUGCUAAGACCCAAUGGACGACAGAGAUCAGAACAGCACAGUGUAAUGAUGCAGAUAUAAUGUAAAACCAAAAGAGUGCUAAGCUUUAAUCAGAGCUCCGCCAGUAGAAACGAUCUUGGACAAGUUACUGAACUUCUAUCAGCCUCCCAGUUUCUUCAUCCAUAAAACUGAGAUAAUAACACCUGUCGGGCAGGACUGAUGUCAGACCGAAGGUAGAUAAUGUAUGUAAAGUGCUUGGUACACGAUUGGCCCCAGAGUGCCAGGACUCCAUUCAAGUUCAGCACCCGACAAGUAGGAAAAACUCAGCUGAUGCUUGAUGAAUGACUGAGCGAGUGAGAGAACGCUUUACCUUCAGCUGCAGUUCCUUGUAUCUCUUCGACAUCCGAAUGAGCAACUUCUCACCAUUGAUCACAGCAGAUUUUUCUUGA